rnacentral:rRNA from 1 species
CAGAACAGCUGGCGGCGUGCCUAAUACAUGCAAGUCGAGACGGAUUUAGUCGGGAGCUUGCUCCUGGCUAGGUCAGCGGCGGACGGGUGAGUAACACGUAGGUAACCUGCCCGUAAGGCCGGGAUAACAUCCGGAAACGGAUGCUAAUACCGGAUACGCAAUUCCUUCGCAUGGGGGGAUUGGGAAAGGCGGUUCCGAUUGAAUUCGGGCUGCCGCUUACGGAUGGACCUGCGGCGCAUUAGCUGGUUGGUGAGGUAACGGCUCACCAAGGCGACGAUGCGUAGCCGACCUGAGAGGGUGAUCGGCCACACUGGGACUGAGACACGGCCCAGACUCCUACGGGAGGCAGCAGUAGGGAAUCUUCCGCAAUGGACGAAAGUCUGACGGAGCAACGCCGCGUGAGUGAGGAAGGCCUUCGGGUCGUAAAGCUCUGUUGCCAGGGAAGAACGUGCGAGGGAGUCACUGCCCUUGUAGUGACGGUACCUGAGAAGAAAGCCCCGGCUAACUACGUGCCAGCAGCCGCGGUAAUACGUAGGGGGCAAGCGUUGUCCGGAAUUAUUGCGCGUAAAGCGCGCGCAGGCGGCUUUGUAAGUCUUGUGUUUAAACGCGGGGCUCAACCCCGUGUCGCAUGGGAAACUGCAAGGCUUGAGUGCAGAAGAGGAAAGUGGAAUUCCACGUGUAGCGGUGAAAUGCGUAGAGAUGUGGAG